rnacentral:rRNA from 1 species
AGCGAACGCUGGCGGCAGGCCUAAAACAUGCAAGUCGAACGCGAAAGGGACUUCGGUCCUGAGUAGAGUGGCGAACGGGUGAGUAACGCGUGGGUGAUCUACCCUCGAGUGGGGGAUAACGUUCCGAAAGGGACGCUAAUACCGCAUGAUGUUCCGGGUUUGAAGACCUGGAAACCAAAGCCGGGGACCGCAAGGCCUGGCGCUCAAGGAGGAGCCCGCGUCUGAUUAGCUAGUUGGCGGGGUAAUGGCCCACCAAGGCGACGAUCGAUAGCUGGUCUGAGAGGAUGAUCAGCCACACUGGAACUGAGACACGGUCCAGACUCCUACGGGAGGCAGCAGUAGGGAAUAUUGGACAAUGGGGGCAACCCUGAUCCAGCCAUGCCGCGUGAGUGAAGAAGGCCCUCGGGUUGUAAAGCUCUUUUGUCCGGAAAGAAAGCAUCUGGUUAAUACCCGGGUGUUCUGACGGUACCGGAAGAAUAAGCACCGGCUAACUUCGUGCCAGCAGCCGCGGU